CCUACGGGCGGCAGCAGUGGGGAAUAUUGGGCAAUGGACGCAAGUCUGACCCAGCAACGCCGCGUGAAGGAAGAAGGCUUUCGGGUUGUAAACUCCUUUUAAGGGGGAAGAGCAGAAGGCGAUACACCUUAAAUAAGCCACGGCUAACUACGUGCCAGCAGCCGCGGUAAUACGGAGGUGGCACGCGAUGUCCGGAUUGACUGGGUGUAAAGGGCGUGCAGGGGGUGAGAGAAGGCAGAUGUGAAAUCCAAGGGCUCAACCCGUGAACUGCAUUUGAAACUGUUUCCCUUGAGUGUCGGAGAGGUAAUCGGAAUUCCUGGUGUAGCGGUGAAAUGCGUAGAGAUAAGGAAGAACACCAGUGGCGAAGGCGGAUUACUGGACGAUAACUGACGGUGAGGCGCGAAAGCGUGGGGAGCAAACAGGAUUAGAUACCCGAGUAGUC
rnacentral:rRNA from 1 species